AACUGAAAAUAAUAGUUCUUCACCCUUUAAGAACUUACACAAAAAAAUCAGAUGCAAAGCUAAGCUAAAAACGAAAAUCAACAACAUUCUUCUCGAAGGAUUGGGUUUUGGAUUUUGGUGGUGAGGCUUUGGUGUCGUGGAAUUGGCAGCAUUGAAACAAGUGUUGAAAUAAAUUAAGGUACAAGUGCAGGUGAAUGAUAAAGCUUACAAGACUACGCUGAAGUUAUCAGGACGAGGAGCAUUCUUCUACACUUGAUUCUGGCCGUUGAGGUGCUUAGAGGUCAUUUGGAAGUAGACUUGGACAUCUUUCACUAGUUGUUAGUGAGCCCUCAAUGUUCGAGGAUGGUACCGUUUAUCUAGGUUAGUAGGAUUGUUAUGUCAAAAGACACUUGUUUCUUUCCUAAUUACUUGAGACUAUUGUUGUAAGCUAAUAUAUUGCAUAUUGUACUAGUAUGAGUGAUGCCCAAAUGUUGUAAUCCUCUGUAGAUGGUUUGUAUGUGAGACGAUAUAUUAGACUCUUAAAUGAA